GGCAAAGUCAUUCAGCUCGGCUCCUGCCCCAGACGGCCCAAGGCAUAGAUUUCAGCAGGAGGAGGUGUGUGGGAUAUGGCAGUGAACGAGCUCAAUGGCCAGGCCUGCGAGGCAGCAGCAGCCUCCCUGUGUGUGUGGGACCGUCCAGCCCAGGCCCCCCAGUGCUCCCAGUCUCUCCCAGUCUCUCCCACAACAGGGAAUUGGCUGGCCCUGCCCAUCUUCACAGUCUGUCUUGUCUCUGUUUUUACUCUAAGACCACAUUUGUACACCUUACACUCAAUCUGCUUGAGAAACUGAGUCUCUUGGAGAAAGAGCCCCAUUCCUCCCCAAAACUGAGAAGCCCCGCUGGUUGGGGCAAAUGUACCAGCCACAAAUAGAUCCUGCACUUGAGUGAAAUAAACAAGUUUCAAGGU
rnacentral:lncRNA from 1 species